GGUCGGGAACUCAAAGGAGACUGCCAGUGAUAAACUGGAGGAAGGUGGGGAUGACGUCAAGUCAUCAUGGCCCUUACGAGUAGGGCUACACACGUGCUACAAUGGCAUAUACAAAGAGAAGCGACCUCGCGAGAGCAAGCGGACCUCAUAAAGUAUGUCGUAGUCCGGAUUGGAGUCUGCAACUCGACUCCAUGAAGUCGGAAUCGCUAGUAAUCGUGGAUCAGAAUGCCACGGUGAAUACGUUCCCGGGCCUUGUACACACCGCCCGUCACACCAUGGGAGUGGGUUGCAAAAGAAGUAGGUAGCUUAACCUUCGGGAGGGCGCUUACCACUUUGUGAUUCAUGACUGGGGUGAAGUCGUAACAAGGUAACCGUAGGGGAACCUGCGGUUGGAUCACCUCCUUACCUGAAAGAA
rnacentral:rRNA from 1 species